rnacentral:rRNA from 1 species
CGGUCUGUCGCGUCGGAUGUGAAAGCCCGGGGCUUAACCCCGGGUCUGCAUUCGAUACGGGCAGACUAGAGUGUGGUAGGGGAGAUCGGAAUUCCUGGUGUAGCGGUGAAAUGCGCAGAUAUCAGGAGGAACACCGGUGGCGAAGGCGGAUCUCUGGGCCAUUACUGACGCUGAGGAGCGAAAGCGUGGGGAGCGAACAGGAUUAUAUACCCUGGUAGUCCACGCCGUAUACGGUGGGAACUA